GGGGGGGGGGGGGGGGGGGGGGGGGGGGGGGGGGGGGCGGGGGGGCGGGGGUUGUGGGGGGUGCGCGAGGGGCGAGCGGGGGGGUAACACGGGCGUAACCUGCCCUUGACGUUGGGAUACCGUCGCGGAACGGGGGCUACUACCGGAUAGGCGCGCCUGCUGCAUGGUGGGGGUUGGCAAGGUUCGGCGGGUGGGGAUGGACUCGCGGCUUAUCAGCUGGUUGGUGGGGUAGUUGCUUACCAAGGCUUUGACGGGUAGCCGGCCUGAGAGGGUGACCGGCCACAUGGGGACUGAGAUACGGCCCAGACUCCUACGGGAGGCAGCAGUGGGGAAUAGUGCACAAUGGGCGGAAGCCUGAUGCAGCAACGCCGCGUGCGGGAUGAAGGCCUUCGGGUUGUAAACCGCUUUCGCCUGUGACGAAGCGUGAGUGACGGUAAUGGGUAAAGAAGCACCGGCUAACUACGUG
rnacentral:rRNA from 1 species